UGUAUGAGCUGUUUCGGAUAUUUCGUCUCCUAGAUCCUGGCCUGGCUUAUUUCGUUUCGGCGCUGCUGAGACCUCCUUUCGCGGAAUAUUACUCAAUAUCGACAGUGUGCGAAGAACGCGAGUUCACCUUCUUGACGAAAAUCGUGGACUAACAGUUCGAAGUCAUUGAACUACUUCCAAAAGUUGUAUCGACAUCAACAGGGUUACGAUUUCAGUGCAAUAUGGUGCAGGAUGACCUUAUCACGAUAACCCAUGAUUAUAAACCAUUAUAAACACAGAAUCAACAAAAACAUCUGCGACACGCACCUGGUUACAUUUCUCAAAUAAAUCUGAUCGAGGGUGGGGAAAUCUGAAAUAUCUGAAAGGCAAGACAA